CUACACUGUGUCUGUGGGUUGUAGGUGACUACACUGUGUCUGUGGGUUGUAGGUGACUAUUCUGUGGGUUGUAGGUGACUACACUGUGGGUUGUAGGUGACUACACUGUGGGUUGUAGGUGACUACACUGUGCGUUGUAGGUGACUACACUGUGGGUUGUAGUUGACUACACUGUGCGUUGUUGGUGACUACACUGUGUCUGUGGGUUGUUGGUGACUACACUGUGGGUUGUAGGUGACUACACUGUGUCUGUGGGUUGUAGGUGACUAUUCUGUGUCUGUGGGUUGUAGGUGACUACUCUGUGGGUUGUAGGUGACUACACUGUGGGUUGUAGGUGACUACACUGUGGGUUGUAGGUGACUACACUGUGGGUUGUAGGUGACUACACUGUGGGUUGUAGGUGACUACACUGUGGGUUGUAGGUGACUACACUGUGGGUUGUUGGUGACUACACUGUCUGGGUUGUAGGUGACUAUUCUGUGUCUGGGUUGUAGGUGACUACACUGUUUGUGGGUUGUAGGUGACUACUCUGUGUCUGUGGGUUGUAGGUGACUACACUGUGUCUGUGGGUUGUAGGUGACUACUCUGUGUCUUUGGGUUGUAGGUGACUACACUGUGGGUUGUAGGUGACUACACUGUGGGUUGUAGGUGACUACUCUGUGUCUUUGGGUUGUAGGUGACUACACUGUGGGUUGUUGGUGACUACACUGUCUGGGUUGUAGGUGACUAUUCUGUGUCUGGGUUGUAGGUGACUACACUGUGUCUGUGGGUUGUAGGUGACUACACUGUGUCUGUGGGUUGUAGGUGACUACACAGUGUCUGUGGGUUGUAGGUGACUACACUGUCUGUGGGUUGUAGGUGACUACUCUGUGUCUUUGAGGCAAAAUGUGCUGACUGUGAUAUGUGGUUGUCCCACCUAGCUAUCUGGAGAUGAAUGUACUGACUAUGACUGGUCCACCUACCCAUCUGGAGAUGAAUGUACUAACUGUGACUGGUCCACCUAGCUAUCUGAUGAAUGUACUGACUAUGACUGGUCCACCUACCUAUCUGAUGAAUGUACUGACUAUGACUGGUCCACCUACCUAUCUGGAGAUGAAUGUACUAACUGUGACUGGUCCACAUAGCUAUCUGGAGAUGAAUGUAUGGACUAUGACUGGUCCACAUAGCUAUGUGGUAUAGCUUGUGGUUCUAUAGUCUGUCCUGUUGUCAGUCAGUGGUUCUAUAGUCUGUCCUGUUGUCAGUCAGUGGUUCUAUAGUCUGUCCUGUUGUCAGUCAGUGGUUCUAUAGUCUAUAGGUUGGGAACCCCCAGGCGUUUCAGAUUUGUUUUAGCCCUGAGCUGGUUCACCCUUUAGAGUGUGUGUGUGCGUAUGUGUGUGUGUGUGUGUGUGUGUGUGUGUGUGUGUGUGUGUGCGUAUGUGUGUGCGUAUGUGUGUGCGUAUGUGUGUGUGUGUGUGCGUAUGUGUGUGCGUAUGUGUGUGUGUGUGUGUGUGUGUGUGCGUGCGCGUGUGUGUGUGUGUGUGUGCACGCGUGCGUGUUAUGCUGGGUGGAACAGCACACAGCCUGACAGAGGUAGGCCUUUCUAGCUGCCGUUCUCGAUUGCAAAAUACCAAAUAAAUAUUUUGCUUCCAACAGCCUCUUUCUCCCAUCUGUGUCACAAACCAUCCCAGUAUGUGAAGCUAACGACUACCUCUUCUUUUCAAGAGCAACGUUAAUAAAAAUAUAGAUUUUCUCUCUGUGGAGAAACAAGUACUUCACAGAUUCUGCUAAUGCCUGCUCCAAACCGUCUCUAGUGACUGCUCCUAACCGUCUCUAGUGACUGC
ensembl:lncRNA